GUCAUGUGGGCGGGGCUAUUCCCUGUCUGCUGUUUUCCCCGGUUGCGUCUCGAGUAGCAGUAGAGAGGAGCGGGCUUGGAGUGUCAGGGUUGGUUUCCGGGAUUUCUGUGCAGUGGCAUAACGUCAGCAGGAGAUGCCACACUGACACUUCCGGUCCAUGGUCCUCACCUCAACUUCCUGAUUGGGACAGGACAGCACUGAGGUUCUUGUGAAACUCCAUGAUGACAAGACCCCUAUACUGCAGCUUCAAGCUGGUGCUGUCUCUUGAUGGUGUGUCCUUGGUCUGAAUAUACAUUAUUCUCCUUCUCCAACACCAAUAUUUGUUUUUAAAGGGGUACUCCGGUGCUUAGA